GCUGCUCUCUAGAGGUCAUGCUGCUGUGAAAGAACAUCCUCCUGCUGCAGCAUGAGUGCCUGGGCUCAGGGGAGGAUACUGCAGGAUCUCACUGCAUUGGAAUGUGAUCAACCAGCAGCUGGCUGGUCACUGGCUAACCUUGUCGUCGUCCAGGGAAGCGAACAUGAUGGCCGAUACUAAACUGAAGUCAGACUUGCUAAGGUGAUCGCAGUGAGUUGCAGAAGGAAAUAGCAGCUUUAAAUCCCUGAUCUGGAGGAAGAGGAAUGCAGGAUCGGACCCCAAGAAAGGUGAUGGCUAGAGGCCUGAGGCCUGAAUGGGGUGCCCUC